ACCUAGCUGACGAGUCUCAAAUAGGACGAAACGUGCGUCCUGAAU
rnacentral:hammerhead_ribozyme from 1 species